rnacentral:rRNA from 1 species
UACGUAGGGUGCAAGCGUUGUCCGGAAUUAUUGGGCGUAAAGAGCUCGUAGGCGGCUUGUUGCGUCGACUGUGAAAACCCGUGGCUCAACCAUGUGGUCUGCAGUCGAUACGGGCAGGCUAGAAUUCGGUAGGGGAGACUGGAAUUCCUGGUGUAGCGGUGAAAUGCGCAGAUAUCAGGAGGAACACCGAUGGCGAAGGCAGGUCUCUGGGCCGAUACUGACGCUGAGGAGCGAAAGCGUGGGGAGCGAACAGG